rnacentral:lncRNA from 10 species
UUAACUUCUCUGUGCCUCACUUUUUUCAUUUGUAAAAUGGAGCUGAUAAUAUAAUAUUAAGGAUGAUAUAAUAAUUUCCCCAUAGGGUUGUUAUGAGGACUAAGUGAGUUAAUAUAUGUAAAAUAUUUACAUAUAUAUUUAUUUAGAAAAAUAUAUAGAACAUAGCAAGUGUUAAGCAUUUAGUAAAUAAAUAAAAUGUUUUAAAGAUCUGUGUUCUUCCUCUACUGUUGAACCAACUCUCUAAUACCAACAAUUAUAUCCCUGUUUUGUUUUCCUAAUGAUCUUCUCUAUCCAAACAACUCUCUUUUAUAUCUGGUCUUGUUUUCUUUUCUUCUUUUGCCUUCCAUCUUGUAUGUUAAUUCUUUCAGUUCCACUUUUCUUACCUAACAUUUAUUUGUCAUGUAGGGAAGCACAAAUAACAGACAGAACAGAGACAGAAGAAUAAAAAGGCAAGAGAAGCAGAGAUAUAAAGCCAUAUGGCCCAAAAAAGAUGGAGGAGCUCUAAGUUCUUGACUUUUUAAAUUUUAGGUCCUGCCCUACCAGUGUCAUUUUCUAUUAUCAAGAUCCACAUGAUACCCUUAAAUGCUUUCUGUAAAUGCCCUCAUUUGUUUGUUUUCUGUCCUUCGCAGUAAAAUAGUACAUCCUAAAUUAUAUUCAUAAUGGACAACCAAGUUUUCAAUAACUGUUAAAUUAUGUUUAAAUAGUAAUUACCACGGCAAUAACUUUGGAAGGUUUGGAAGGCAAUAGACUAAUUUCAUUGCUUAAAAAUAUUGUUUAACAAGAGAAGAAAAUGCAGAGACUCACUUCUAUUGAAAAUUUACUAUGUACCCAACACUGCUCUAG